rnacentral:rRNA from 1 species
GACGAACGAUGGCGGCGUGCUUAACACAUGCAAGUCGAACGAAGUGGCGAACGGGUGAGUAACGCGUAAUCAACCUGCCCUUCAGAGGGGGACAACAGUUGGAAACGACUGCUAAUACCGCAUACUGAAGGAGGGGAUUGCGUGGGAUUAGCUAGUUUGCGGGGUAACGGCCCCCCAAGGCGAUGAGCAGGAGCCGUGCUGAGAGGAGGACCGGCCACAUUGGGGCUGAGACACGGCCUAGACUCCUACGGGGUGCAGCAGUGGGGAGUCUUCCGCAAUGGACGAAAGUCUGACGGAGCAACGCCGCGUGAGUGAUGACGGCCUUCGGGUUGUAAAGCUCUGUUAGUCGGGACGCGGUACCGGAAUAGAAAGCCACGGCUAACUACGUGCCAGCCGCCGCGGUAAUUC